rnacentral:rRNA from 1 species
UACGGGGGGAGCAAGCGUUGUUCGGAUUUACUGGGCGUAAAGGGCGCGUAGGCGGCCACCGCAAGUCAGUUGUGAAAUCUCUGGGCUUAACCCAGAACGGUCAGCUGAUACUGCGGGGCUAGAGUGCAGAAGGGGCAACUGGAAUUCUCGGUGUAGCGGUGAAAUGCGUAGAUAUCGAGAGGAACACCAGUGGCGAAGGCGACUCACUGGACAUGUAUUGACGCUGAGGUGCGAAAGCGUGGGGAGCAAACAGG